GUAGCUCACGGGCUGGACAAAAGGAGUGCUAUGAGGUGGUGGGUUUGCAGGACGAACUCUCUGGCAUGCUGGUAGUGGCCUCUGGGUGGCCACCACCUGUGCGCUAUGCACCAGGCACUUUCACUUGCUAUGUGCGUAUGUGACUGCAUCCCGGAGGCUCACACUGCUGCUGCCCAUCACAGCGAUGUGGGGUCUCAUCAAAUCUCUCACAACCCUAUUUUCUGGUGGGGGAAAUGUGUCACAGAGGAGUUAAGUUAUUUGCCCAGGAUCCUACAUCCUGUUACUGGACUUGGAUCCAGGUAAUGUUACUUCAGAGGGCAACCUUUUAACCUUCAGGAUAGAGUGCCACCCUGAGGAAUGCAAGUCUUUCUGUUAUCAGAAAAGCAAUGUAUGUGUCUGUGGUUCUGCAGGGCUAGUAUUAAACGAGAAACCUGGGUAAUUUUUUACCCACGUUACAAGGUGUUUGUUAUUUGCCUCAUGGUUAAAAUGUCAGACACACAUGAGAUGUCUGCUCUGUGUGUCUCCCAAGGAGAAAGACAGUUUGACCUCAAGGAGGAUAGUCUGGACCCAUGACCUUUCCUUUCCUGGCUAGAGUACUCUUCUCUUCCCCUUACCCUCAUCCCAAGCCACCAGGGGGCACACAGACUCAGCUAUUUACCUUGGAAGGUUUAAGGCUCUAAUUCUAAGGAUAUAAGUAUUAGUCCAGUGUCUUUAGGGGUCCAGCUGGGGAUGGACCAACACAAACAUCAGGUCUCCAAGUGUCCCCAGUUCCAUUUAAAAGGUCAGCUCACCCAUGGGCCUUUUGGUCUUGAGAAACAACACCCUUUUCUGUGGGUUCUAGGAUCAUGAUUUGGUUUCAAGUAGGAACUGAUACCUUAUCCUAGCCCUCCCCCUGCAGAAUCACUCAGAUUCUCAUCUCCAAUUGUUCUCUUCUCUCUCUUUUCCCUUUUCUUGGCUGCUCUCUUAAGUCUUUCUUAUUUAUUAUUUUCUAACAAUUGCACUCAUCUCUCAUGCUAGUAAA
rnacentral:lncRNA from 1 species